rnacentral:rRNA from 1 species
AUUGAACGCUGGCGGCAUGCCUUACACAUGCAAGUCGAACGGUAACGGGCCUUCGGGUGCCGACGAGUGGCGAACGGGUGAGUAAUACAUCGGAACGUGCCCGAUCGUGGGGGAUAACGAGGCGAAAGCUUUGCUAAUACCGCAUACGAUCUACGCAUGAAAGCCGGGGACCGCAAGGCCUUGCGCGGACGGAGCGGCCGAUGGCAGAUUAGGUAGUUGGUGGGAUAAAAGCUUACCAAGCCGACGAUCUGUAGCUGGUCUGAGAGGAUGAUCAGCCACACUGGGACUGAGACACGGCCCAGACUCCUACGGGAGGCAGCAGUGGGGAAUUUUGGACAAUGGGCGCAAGCCUGAUCCAGCCAUGCCGCGUGCAGGAUGAAGGCCUUCGGGUUGUAAACUGCUUUUGUACGGAACGAAAAGCCUUCUUUUAAUAAAGGGGGGUCAUGACGGUACCGUAAGAAUAAGCACCGGCUAACUACGUG